rnacentral:rRNA from 1 species
UCGAACGAUGAAGCCCUUUCGGGGUGGAUUAGUGGCGAACGGGUGAGUAACACGUUGGGCAAUCUGCCCUUCACUCUGGGACAAGCCCUGGAAACGGGGUCUAAUACCGGAUAAUACUUUCCUCCUCCUGGAGGAAGGUUGAAAGCUCCGGCGGUGAAGGAUGAGCCCGCGGCCUAUCAGCUAGUUGGUGGGGUAAUGGCCUACCAAGGCGACGACGGGUAGCCGGCCUGAGAGGGCGACCGGCCACACUGGGACUGAGACACGGCCCAGACUNAUACGGGAGGCAGCAGUGGGGAAUAUUGCACAAUGGGCGAAAGCCUGAUGCAGCGACGCCGCGUGAGGGAUGACGGCCUUCGGGUUGUAAACCUCUUUCAGCAGGGAAGAAGCGAAAGUGACGGUACCUGCAGAAGAAGCGCCGGCUAACUACGUGCCAGCAGCCGCGGUAAUACGUAGGGCGCAAGCGUUGUCCGGAAUUAUUGGGCGUAAAGAGCUCGUAGGCGGCUUGUCACGUCGGUUGUGAAAGCCCGGGGCUUAACCCCGGGUCUGCAGUCGAUACGGGCAGGCUAGAGUGUGGUAGGGGAGAUCGGAAUUCCUGGUGUAGCGGUGAAAUGCGCAGAUAUCAGGAGGAACACCGGUGGCGAAGGCGGAUCUCUGGGCCAUUACUGACGCUGAGGAGCGAAAGCGUGGGGAGCGAACAGGAUUAGAUACCCUGGUAGUCCACGCCGUAAACGUUGGGAACUAGGUGUUGGCGACAUUCCACGUCGUCGGUGCCGCAGCUAACGCAUUAAGUUCCCCGCCUGGGGAGUACGGCCGCAAGGCUAAAACUCAAAGGAAUUGACGGGGGCCCGCACAAGCAGCGGAGCAUGUGGCUUAAUUCGACGCAACGCGAAGAACCUUACCAAGGCUUGACAUACACCGGAAAGCAUCAGAGAUGGUGCCCCCCUUGUGGUCGGUGUACAGGUGGUGCAUGGCUGUCGUCAGCUCGUGUCGUGAGAUGUUGGGUUAAGUCCCGCAACGAGCGCAACCCUUGUUCUGUGUUGCCAGCAUGCCCUUCGGGGUGAUGGGGACUCACAGGAGACUGCCGGGGUCAACUCGGAGGAAGGUGGGGACGACGUCAAGUCAUCAUGCCCCUUAUGUCUUGGGCUGCACACGUGCUACAAUGGCNGGUACAAUGAGCUGCGAUGCCGCGAGGCGGAGCGAAUCUCAAAAAGCCGGUCUCAGUUCGGAUUGGGGUCUGCAACUCGACCCCAUGAAGUCGGAGUUGCUAGUAAUCGCAGAUCAGCAUUGCUGCGGUGAAUACGUUCCCGGGCCUUGUACACACCGCCCGUCACGUCACGAAAGUCGGUAACACCCGAAGCCGGUGGCCCAACCCCUUGUGGGA